rnacentral:tRNA from 1 species
UGGCUCGGUUGGUAGAGCAUGGCGCUUGUAACACCACGGCUGUGGGUUCGACUCCCAU